UACGUAGGGUGCGAGCGUUAAUCGGAAUUACUGGGCGUAGAGCGUGCGCAGGCGGCUUCGCAAGUCAGGUGUGAAAUCCCCGGGCUUAACCUGGGAAUGGCGCUUGAAACUGCGGGGCUAGAGUCUGCCAGAGGGGGGUGGAAUUCCACGUGUAGCAGUGAAAUGCGUAGAGAUGUGGAGGAACACCGAUGGCGAAGGCAGCCCCCUGGGGUAAGACUGACGCUCAGGCACGAAAGCGUGGGGAGCAAACAGGAUUAGAUACCCUGGUAGUCCACGCCCUAAACGAUGUCAACUAGUUGUUGGGGGAGUUGAAUCCCUCGGUAACGGAGCUAACGCGUGAAGUUGACCGCCUGGGGAGUACGGCCGCAAGGUUAAA
rnacentral:rRNA from 1 species